CGGCGGGAGGGUCGCUACGGUGUGUACUGUCUGGCUGGGUCUUACCUCUUGGUGAGCCGGCGUGCCCUUCACUGGGCGCGUCGGGGAACCAGGACUUUUACCUUGAGAAAAUUAGAGUGUUCAAAGCAGGCUUGCGCCCGAAUACAUUAGCAUGGAAUAAUAAAAUAGGACGUGCGGUCCUAUUUUGUUGGUUUCUAGAAUCGCCGUAAUGAUUAAUAGGGAUAGUUGGG
rnacentral:rRNA from 1 species